UACGUAGGCAGCAAGCGUUGUUCGGAGUUACUGGGCGUAAAGGGUGUGUAGGCGGUUGUUUAAGUUUGGUGUGAAAUCUCCCGGCUCAACUGGGAGGGUGCGCCGAAUACUGAAUGACUUCGAGUGCGGGAGAGGAGAGUGGAAUUCCUGGUGUAGCAGUGAAAUGCGUAGAGAUCAUGAGGAAGACCAGUGGCGAAGGCGGGUCUCUGGACAGUUCCUGACACUGAGGCACGAAGGCCAGGGGAGCAAACGGG
rnacentral:rRNA from 1 species